UACGGAGGGUGCGAGCGUUGUCCGGAAUCAUUGGGCGUAAAGGGUACGUAGGUGGUUAUAAAAGUUAGAAGUGAAAGGCUAUAGCUCAACUAUAGUAAGCUUUUAAAACUGUUUAACUUGAGAGAUGGAAGGGAGAGUGGAAUUCCUAGUGUAGCGGUGAAAUGCGUAGAUAUUAGGAGGAAUACCGGUGGCGAAGGCGACUUUCUGGCCAUAAACUGACGCUGAGGUACGAAAGCGUGGGUAGCAAACAGG
rnacentral:rRNA from 1 species